CCAAUAGCGUAUAUUAAAGUUGUUGCAGUUAAAAAGCUCGUAGUUGAAUUUCGGGAUCAGUACGUUGGUCAUGCCUUGGUAUGUACUGGUGUAACUGAUUCCUCCCUUCUGACGAACCGUCAUGCCAUUCACUUGGUGUGGCGGGAAAUCAGGACUGUUACUUUGAAAAAAUUAGAGUGUUUAAAGCAGGCUCGCGCUUGAAUUCAUUAGCAUGGAAUAAUGAAAUAGGACGUUAAUCCUAUUUUGUUGUGUUCUAGGAGCGACGUAAUGAUUAAUAGGGAUAGUUGGGGUCAUUAGUAUUCAAUUGUCAGAGGUGAAAUUCUUGGAUUUAUUGAAGACUAACUACUGCGAAAGCAUUUGCCAAGGAUGUUUUCAUUAAUCAAGAACGAAAGUUAGGGGAUCGAAGACGAUCAGAUACCGUCGUAGUCUUAACCAUAAACUAUGCCGACUAGGGAUCGGAUGAUGUUAAUUUUUUAAUGACUCAUUCGGCGCCUUACG
rnacentral:misc_RNA from 1 species